rnacentral:rRNA from 1 species
AUGCAGUCGAGCGGACAGAUGGGAGCUUGCUCCCUGAUGUUAGCGGCGGACGGGUGAGUAACACGUGGGUAACCUGCCUGUAAGACUGGGAUAACUCCGGGAAACCGGGGCUAAUACCGGAUGGUUGUUUGAACCGCAUGGUUCAAACAUAAAAGGUGGCUUCGGCUACCACUUACAGAUGGACCCGCGGCGCAUUAGCUAGUUGGUGAGGUAACGGCUCACCAAGGCAACGAUGCGUAGCCGACCUGAGAGGGUGAUCGGCCACACUGGGACUGAGACACGGCCCAGACUCCUACGGGAGGCAGCAGUAGGGAAUCUUCCGCAAUGGACGAAAGUCUGACGGAGCAACGCCGCGUGAGUGAUGAAGGUUUUCGGAUCGUAAAGCUCUGUUGUUAGGGAAGAACAAGUACCGUUCGAAUAGGGCGGUACCUUGACGGUACCUAACCAGAAAGCCACGGCUAACUACGUGCCAGCAGCCGCGGUAAUACGUAGGUGGCAAGCGUUGUCCGGAAUUAUUGGGCGUAAAGGGCUCGCAGGCGGUUUCUUAAGUCUGAUGUGAAAGCCCCCGGCUCAACCGGGGAGGGUCAUUGGAAACUGGGGAACUUGAGUGCAGAAGAGGAGAGUGGAAUUCCACGUGUAGCGGUGAAAUGCGUAGAGAUGUGGAGGAACACCAGUGGCGAAGGCGACUCUCUGGUCUGUAACUGACGCUGAGGAGCGAAAGCGUGGGGAGCGAACAGGAU